rnacentral:rRNA from 1 species
CGGACGGGUGAGUAACGCGUGAAUUACAUGCCCUAUAGUGGGGAAUAGCCCAGGGAAACUUGGAUUAAUACCCCAUGGUCUCGCAAGAGUAAAGGUGGCCGCAAGGCUGUCGCUAUAGGAUUGGUUCGCACCCUAUCAGCUUGUUGGUGAGGUAACGGCUCACCAAGGCUACGACGGGUACCUGGUCUGAGAGGACGAUCAGGCACACUGGAACUGAGACACGGUCCAGACACCUACGGGUGGCAGCAGUCGAGAAUAAUUCACAAUGGGGGCAACCCUGAUGGUGCAACGCCGCGUGGAGGAUGACGGUCUUCGGAUUGUAAACUCCUGUCAUCUGGGAGUAAGACCUGGUCGUUAAUAGCGGACAGGGUUGAUAGUACCAGAAGAGGAAGGGACGGCUAACUUCGUGCCAGCAGCCGCGGUAAUACGAAGGUCCCGAGCGUUGUUCGGAAUCACUGGGCGUAAAGGGAGCGUAGGCGGCGUGGUAAGUCAGAUGUGAAAUCCCGGGGCUCAACCCCGGAACUGCAUCCGAUACUGCCGUGCUAGAGGAUUGGAGAGGUAGCUGGAAUUCUUGGUGUAGCAGUGAAAUGCGUGGAUAUCAAGAGGAACACUCGUGGCGAAAGCGAGCUACUGGACAACUCCUGACGCUGAGCUCGAAGCCAGGGUAGCGAAAGGGAUUAGAUACCUCUGUAGUC